GUCCACGCCGUAACGAUGAUAACUAGCUGUCCGGGCACUUGGUGCUUGGGUGGCGCAGCUAACGCAUUAAGUUAUCCGCCUGGGGAGUACGGCCGCAAGGUUAAACUCAAAGAAUUGACGGGGCCUGCACAAGCGGUGGAGCAUGUGGUUUAAUUCGAAGCAACGCGCAGAACCUUACCAACGUUUGACAUGUCCAGUAUGGUUAGUGGAGACACUUUCCUUCAGUUCGGCUGGCUGGAACACAGGUGCUGCAUGGCUGUCGU
rnacentral:rRNA from 1 species